rnacentral:rRNA from 1 species
AUUGAACGCUGGCGGCAUGCCUAACACAUGCAAGUCGAACGGGGCAGCAAUGCCUAGUGGCGGACGGGUGAGGAAUACGUAGGAAUCUGCCCUUAAGUGGGGGAAACCAGGGGAAACCCUGACUAAUACCGCAUGAUCUCUUCGGAGCAAAGAGGGGAACCGCAAGGCCUCUCGCUUCUGGAUGAGCCUACGUCUGAUUAGCUAGUUGGUAGGGUAAAGGCCUACCAAGGCGACGAUCAGUAACUGGUCUGAGAGGAUGAUCAGUCACACCGGAACUGAGACACGGUCCGGACUCCUACGGGAGGCAGCAGUGGGGAAUAUUGGACAAUGGGCGCAAGCCUGAUCCAGCAAUGCCGCGUGUGUGAAGAAGGUCUUCGGAUUGUAAAGCACUUUAAGUCGGGAGGAAGGGCUGUAGGCUAAUACCUUGCAGUUUUGACGUUACCGACAGAAUAAGCACCGGCUAACUUCGUGCCAGCCGCCGCAGUAAUAC